GGCCUUGUAGUUUAGCUGGUAGAGCAUGCGCUGUAUAAAAGGGUAGGCGGCGUUUAUACGUGGGUUUGAAUCCCAACAAGGUCA
rnacentral:tRNA from 1 species